UGUCAGAAGUCUUGCCAUGAACUUCCCCCCAAAACCAGCUUUCCUAGCUGACUUGGUGUGUACUAGCAUUUCACUGGAGCACGUGGUAUUUCCUCUGUGCCUCCAAACCCCUGUCCUGCCACCAGGAGAGCUCCAAAGGCAGUGUCCAGGGAUGCCCCACGUCCCAGGCUCUGUCCAGGCACUCCUGCCUCUCCCUGAGGAUGUCCCUCUGCUUCUGCUGGGAUCUCUGCUUGGAUUGCUCAGCUUGCUGCUGCCUCUCCAGCCCUUCUUCUCCCUCACUCUCUCUUCUCUGUUUCUUCCCUUCUGCUGUCCCUUCUAGUCAAUGUCUGAAAAGAAGUUUGACUACCGGGAAUUUGCUGCUAUUCCUUCCUCCAAACCUGUUUACGAAAUCCAGUCCCCUGAUGCAGCUGAUGACCUCAGACACAUCGAUGACCGGAGUAACUCAGUUCACCAGGAGCAGGAUGGGCAGCCAGAGGAGGACACACUGGGAACAGGGGAUCCAUCAGCAGCAGCUCCCUCAGCCCUGGAGGACAUGGCCCUGUACAGCAGCAAGCGGAAGCUCCGGCACAGCCGGCGCAGCCUGGAGACCGCUGUCCCCACAUAGGUGACCCGCCACACCUGGGCAAUGGACUGGCCUGGCACAGCCCUUCGGGAGCUCCGGGGACAGCAGCAGGCUGCCCCCCUGCCUACAGACUCUGGCUGGGACCAAGCUGCCCGUGAGCCCUGUGGCCAGCUGACUCCUCUGGGGCUGUGAACCGCCCUCGUUCCUCACCCAACAGUGCACUGGGGCACAUCCCAAAACUGGGACAACACUGGACUGACUGCUGGCAGAUGGAGAGGAAGGGUGGCCAGGAGAGUGGGCAGCUUUUUAGCCUGUAAAUAUUGUGUGUGGGGAAGAGUAGGACAGGGAGAAUGUAGGAGUGUGAGAGUGUAUUGGGCUCCAGCUGUUACUGCCUCAACUUGAGUUUUGUAGUUAAAAGGAGCUUCUCCUCUGUUGGGAAUUGGGAGGAAGGUCCAGCCUGCCUUUACUCCUAUUUAAUUUCCAGUCUUUUGCCAAAAAGCAUCCUCUCCCACCUCCUGCACUGUGUCACCUCACUUCCCUUUGGGAGUGUUUGGGAAUGGGAAGCUUGGAGGCAAAAAGAAGGGAAAAAAAAAAGGAAAAAAAACAUCAGAAUUCCAGCAAAGUGCCUCCCUCUGCCACUGGCACUCUGUGCUCAAGGAAAACAGAGCCAGCUCUCUGCCACCUGCCUUUGUCCUGAUGGGACACUGCUCCUGCUGGGGCUUUGUGCUGUCCUGGGACAGCUCCCACCCUGGAUGGGCACAUCCCCCUUUGUCACCACAGCAGGAGCCACUCCAGAGCACACGAGUGGAGGAGUCUCCUGUGGCACUGGGGCUGAACUGGUCAGCUGGGGCAGGACUGGGACAGAGCUGACAGCCAGAGCAGGGGUGUCAGGGGUGUGUGACAGCAGUGGGAGCAGGACAGGGGGCAGGACACGGUGGCAGAGGUGGGAGGUGUGACAGUAGGUACCUUAGUGGGUAGAGUUCAGGAACUGGGGAUGGGUAGAAUGUGGAGUUGCUGGGGUCACGUUGGGAGUUACAGGAUCCUACACAUGGAGGUGCUGGUGGGGAGUCCACAGUGUCUACGCUGGCUGUAGGGUGGGGUGGGAUGUCACGGGGUGCCUGGUGUGUGGGCUGGCAGGGAGCACCAGGAGCAGGAUGGGGCUGGCCUGUGCCUUGCAAUAACCACACAGUUCCACUUUGCCAGCUCAUUGGCUUCAGGCCCCUUCCCAUGGAGGACAGGGAAAAUGCACGUUUGCCCACACAAGAGGGAAAAAGGAAAAUGAGAAAUGAGUGGGGGUGUGAGCCUUGGUUUCCACAUGUGGAACAAGGGCUGUGAGCUGGUUCUGAAUCGUGAGCUCUGCAGAUGUGGAGGUUACAGCUGCUGCUCCCAACUCUGCCAUCAGCCUCUGCUGCCACUAGUGAGGGGAAACAACCCUUUUCGUUUUUUUUAUCACUGCCUCUCACCGUGAGGAAGGUCCGAGCUCGACACAGUCCCGUUCCCUGUCCAUUGGUGCUCUCUGACUCCCCAGUAAGAUCAGGGUUGGACCUUAAGCCUCACAGUGGCUGGGCACUGACAGGCACAUCUGCUUGUACAUUUGCUGAAGGAAAGAGUUGGAUGCAGUUUUUUGGGUGCAGUUUCUCAGUUGAGCCUCUCCUUUCAUGCCAAAAUCCAGCGGAUCAUUUUAACUGACUCUAUGUUUCGAUUUUACAGACUUGUGAAGGGGAACUCUGAUAAUCUCAUGCUGCAGCUGCAGCUGCCUCCAUCAUCAGCAAUUUGAGCUUUUCCUUUUUAAAUCUAAUUUUAGCAUUUGCUUUUUAACAAGAGCAGUUUUGGAAACAAUCCUGGCUGGGUUUUGGUGACUAACUUGUGAUUCUUCUCUCCUUUCCCUGUGCGGUACCUGGUGCCAGGCUCUGGAUUCUCUCCCGUUCUCUCCUAAGAGACUCUGAGGGAAAAUUAGCGCAUCAAGACUGUAACUAGUGAAAUUUGUACAACCAAAGAAAUCUAUUUUGUGGUUCAAGGAUAAUAAAGUUUACUUUACGUUUUAGAGCCUUUAGUCACAGUGGUUUGCCCUGUGUCAAGUCUGCAGUUUCAGUAUCAAUGCUUUGCUGGUGGUUGUUAUUCACUGCAUUAUCCAGCAAAGAUGCUCCUGGUGUUCCUGCUUUUGGGAGCGCGAAUUAAUGCACACCCCAAUUACUGCCAGCUGAAAAUAGUCAGGGAUGGGAAGAAAAACCCAAUAUGAAACACAGUGAUACCAGCAAGAUCUUUAGUCUCUUGGCUUUCCUU
ensembl:lncRNA